rnacentral:rRNA from 1 species
CAGCAGUGGGGAAUUUUGCGCAAUGGGGGAAACCCUGACGCAGCAACGCCGCGUGGAGGAUGAAAUCCCUUGGUAUGUAAACUCCUUUCGAUCGGGACGAUAAUGACGGUACCGAUAGAAGAAGCCCCGGCUAACUUCGUGCCAGCAGCCGCGGUAAUACGAGGGGGGCAAGCGUUGUUCGGAAUUAUUGGGCGUAAAGGGUGCGUAGGCGGUUUGAUAAGUCUUGUGUGAAAUCUAUGGGCUCAACCCAUAGUCUGCACAGGAAACUGUCGGGCUUGAGAGUGGGAGAGGUGAGUGGAAUUUCCGGUGUAGCGGUGAAAUGCGUAGAUAUCGGAAGGAACACCUGUGGCGAAAGCGGCUCACUGGACCAUUUCUGACGCUGAUGCACGAAAGCUAGGGGAGCAAACAGGAUUAGA